UGGUAGAGAAUGGAAAUUUGGGGCUUUCAUGGAACCCUAGAAACCAAACGGUGGGUGUGAGCUCAAAAACAGAAGGUGAGGUUGGAGCCAAUUCCAUUAAUUGCCUCUCGCCUCAACCGAAGUUGUUUGGUGACUCUAAAUCAAGCUCAUUUGGAGGGCUUGCACAGAGGAUGGCAACAAGAAAAGGUUUCAAUGUUCCAAAGCUUGAUACAGCCAACAUUCCAUCCACUAGCUUGAUACGGGCUUGAGGUGUCUCAUAGUUGGGAAGAUAGAAAAGAAAGAAGAUCUGAUGAGGAGAACUCUGAGGAUGAAAGACGAAGAUUAAGUAUUGGAGCUUUAAAGAAAAAGGCACUGAGUGCUUCUUCUAAGUUCACACAUUCUCUCAAGAAGCGAGGGAAGAGGAGAGAUGUUAAUAGGACUUCUUCUGUUUCAAUCGAGAAUGAUAGGGAUUUGGAAGAGGAGCACGAAGUAUACACAUUCCGCAAGGGGCUAAUUUCUAGGGACUUAUUGCCUGAUAAACAUGACGACUAUCACAUGCUGCUCAGGUUUCUGAAAGCUAGAAAAUUUGAUCGUGAGAAAGCAACUCUUAUGUAGGCAGAUAUGCUUUAGUGGAGACAGGAAUUUGGAGCAGAUACAAUUUUGGAUAUAUACAAUGGUAGGUGUUUUGUCCCAGUCUCAAGCCGACAAUCCUUUUUGAUCAGUA